AUUCUUUUCACAAAUGGAAGAUUCUUUGUGCGGUCCAGAUGAUUCUUCAACGCCCUCUCUGUCACUUGGUUGAUCCUAUUCUCAAUGGGAAAAGAUGAUGAAAGAGGACCCGCAUGAUCGAGAAUCUUAACUACGGCCAAGAAAAAAUCAUUAUCAACCUCCCUAACAUCCUUUCCUCCAACAACAACAUCCUUAUUCAUUUUUGACAACUUAGGAUCCAUAUCCUCCCCAAUCUCUGUCUCAAACCACUUUUCCUUAAACAGUUUAAUACAAGUAUCACUCAUCUGAAACGCCUCAAAAUGCACAUCGGCUCCACCAUCUUCAUUCACUUCCAGUUUCACCACUGCUGUCACCCACUCCUUCAACUCACUCUCUGCAUGCAGUUCUGCAGCCUGCAGAACCUCUCUGUUGGACAAAGUGUAAUCUUUCUUGUCCUGCGUUAUCGUCUG
rnacentral:misc_RNA from 1 species